rnacentral:lncRNA from 1 species
AUCCCGAAGGCAUGGACUAGGGAAGAUUUGACUUUUUGCAUGGUGCCAUGUCCUUUGAUAAUAUUUGGGAUGAGAUUAGUGGCUGUGGAUCGGAUGAGAAAAUAAUGGGUGAUCAGCCUAUUGUGGCAGUUGCUGGGGAACAUAAGAACCAGCAGUCGAACUCGAAGGAGGAAGUCUCUGAAUCAGGGACAGUAGUAAUCAAGCCUAAGGAGCCAGCAAAGACUGAGGACGAAAAAAGAUCUUCACCGCAUAAUCCAACUGCUGAUUGUACUUCUCUAUCAGAUGCUUCAACAAAUUCAUAGAUCAGUUUUUAGUUUUAUGAACAUUGUUAAGUAUAAUUGAUUUAUUUUAAAUUUUAUGACGAUUGUUAAGUAUUAUGAAUUUAUUUUAAAUUUUAUGAACAUUGUUAAAUAUUAUGGAUUUAUUUUAAAUAUUCUGAAUAUUGUUGAGUAUUAUGAACAUUACUU